CAGAGGGAUGCCCAGGAUGAGGUGAAGACGAUCCUGGAAAUCAGCCCAGAUGUGCAUGCACCAGCCCACGUGUGGCAGGACCAAGGGAAGUGUCUUCACAAAGAUGAGCCUUUGAUUUGUUGGAGAAACUGUUACCAGAAAAACAGGUCCCGAUCCUGACCUCAAAAGAGUAUUCUUGGAUCUUGCACAGGAAGGAAUUAAAGGUGAGUCACAGAGUAUAGUGAGAAGGAGAUAGUUUAUUGAAAGUUCCUCAGAUACAGAGUAGGUGUCCUCAGAAAACAAAAGGAAGAAUGCACCAUCUUUGUUGUAAACUCUUCUAAUAUAGGUGUUUAAUCUACAUAAAAGCUAAGUUAAAUGUCUGUAUGUGGGUGCUCUGACAGCAUGACAAAAUUUAGUACUUUGUUGAUUUAAAGAAAGUUAUCCUUGGCAUUUUAGUUAGUAUAUCAAAGCAUGACUAUAAUAAUCUUAAAAGCAUAUAUUAUAAUGUGAUGUCAGCACAUGUGGACAUUCUGUUGUCUGUCAUAGGCGUUUGUUCUUGCAGACAUUAUUAAAUUGUUUGUUCAGCUGUAAACCUCUUAUGACCAUGGGUUGUGACUGGCAAGGAAUAUGCCUUGCUAGUUGAAAGAUGGGGCUGACUUUAAAGUGGUGUCACCCUGGCUCUCCUAUGCUUCUGUUUCCCCAAAAAAGCCAGGUUACUUGUCCUGUAGAAUGAUCCACAUUCUGAGUUUGGCUAAUGCAGUCUCAUGGUAUUAACUUGUUUCUUUAUAUGUUGUAUUUUCUGUUACCCACAAAAUAAUUUUUCUGAUACACAUUUGUAAUCUUACGAUGCCAGCAUCUGCUACUCUUCAUGUUACCAAAUUUCUGUUCAAGGACCACUAAAGUCACAGUCAGUGGACAUUCUGAGACCUCUAGGGGAGGGUGGAGAUGCUGUCCUUUAAUAUAUUCUGACCCAAGCAACCUCCCCACUUGGCAUGGUGAAUCUAGACAAGCUAAAGAAUUUACUACACCCCAGGCCUGCACCAGCCCUCUCCUAAGACCUUGGGCACUCUCAUUUCCCUUUUUUUUUCCUAAAAGAAGUCAUAGUUUCUCAUAACCUUUGCUAGUGAUCCUGGACCGUGGUUGUUCCCUGAGGCUGUGUUCUCCACACUGCUGCCAUCACUGCUAGAGCAGAGGUGCAGAGAGCUCAGGAGAGAGAAGGGAGAAAAAGCUGAAGAUUUUGUGUUAAUCAUGCUUUCCUGACUCCAGUAAAAGUGCUUCCUCCACUUGCAACCAUUUCUGUUUCUAUACUGCUGAGUCUUGUGUUCCCAAGACCAAGGGAAGCCCAUUUUCUUUAAAGCCAGUCACAAUUUCUGUUGGCUGAUGGAAUAUCUGUUGUCCAGCAGUUGUGUUCCUGCUCACAAAUGCAAAACAGUUUGAUGCUGCACACAUUACAGGGCUUAGGCUGGAAAUGCUGUCCCUUGCCCCUUUGUUACCUUCUGACAGGGAUCAGUCCAUAGUGUAGUUGGUGUCACAACAGUCCCGAAGAAGCCUUCCAAUAGAUACCCAAAUGUGAUUCAAAGCAGCGCAGGCACACACCACGGUGCCACAUGGUGCCUAUGUAAAGCAGGUAUAUCAGGAAUGCUAAGCAGAAAAGUAGCAGAACACACUGAUCCCCAUGUUCUCAUUGUACAGUUGGGUGCAAUUAAGCUGGCACAAUGGACUCUUCUCAUGGCUACUGUUCCAGUAGUGUGGAUGCCCCCAAAUGCUGCAUAUUUACUAGGACAGCCAGGCAGAGACAGCUGUGUACUAUGAUACAACAGUAGUCCCUCUUAGAGGAAGUGACCUUGUUAGAAGUGGGAGUUUCUGAAGCCAGCUCUUCAGCUGUUACUGGCCUGCUCUUCCAUAGCGUCACUUCAGACCUGCUGGCCCAGCUAUCCACUCUGCCAACAGGUCUGUCUCUGCUAACAGAUCUAGCUCUGUCUCCUCAGUAAAUGUUCUAGGCUCUGACUGCAAGUGCUGACUUGGGCUCCCAGCCCCACACAGCCCCUCUGUUCCAUGAAAGGGCCAUCUAUGCAAAGUGCCCCCCAAAUGCCAAAGGAGCCAAUAAACCAAGGAACAAGACAGACAAAUCUAGUUUGUCGGUAAAGGGUGUUUUAUUGGGGAACUUACAGACAGAAGCGUGGUCUUGGAUGGCAGCAAGACAGGUAGGUUUCUGCACUUAUUACCCCCACACCCAGGGCUUAUAUACCACAGGGAAAGAGUAUACAUGCUCUGUGCAAGACAAAGGCUACUACUGUCCAGAACAGGCAAGAAUGCUAAUGUGUCAUAGCCUAGAAUUUGUAUAACAUCAAGGUUGACAUGUUCUUACAAUAGGGAUGGUAAAUAAAGUAGGAAUCAGGAGUCAGUCCUGGGACUCGGGCUAAUCAGAAGUCAGCAUAGAGAAUUAGCAUCCAAGAGGGAGUUACUUUUCUCUCUACGUCCCAGCCCUCUAAUCCAGCUCUUACAGUCUCAUGGAUUCACAUUUCCCCCGUGGUCUCUGAGUCUUCGGAGGAGGCUGUGGGUGACAUUUUGAGGGUGUGAGUGACACAUUUUAUCAAUUUGUUUUCUACCUGUUAAGCAGGGGCCACAGCAACAAUACGAACAACAGGCGAUGAUAUGUAUGCCAGGUGUAAGACACAGAAUUAAAAAUGCCCUUUACCACAUUUAUUCAGGAACCAAACCAAGAGGUAUAGAGCAGAACAGCAAUAGGAACAGAAGACUAUGGGUGGAAUUAAAAAUGUUUAGUAGGUAUUUGGUGGGGCAGUUCUUCCCCAUUAAACAGAAUGACUGGUAGCUCCAUCUCUGUUGGUUAGGACAUAGGAUUGUGGGCUGGGAGUACGUACCAAACAUGUUGCCUGAGGGGCAAAGGUGCUGAUAUUACCUGUAAGGUUACAGGGGCAGCAAAGGACCAUGUCAAAUGGCCAGCCAGGGUGCUUCUUAAAAGUGACUGUGUUCCAGUUUAUUGGUAUGUGGAGUGUUUUGGCCCAGACUUCAACAGGAUUGAUGGAGACCGCUUUAGUUGGUAGGGAAUUCCUUGCUGUCUGGAAAGAAAUGCUCUAUCCAACAUAGGGGAAGUUGCUAGUCCAACCCCCAUUCAAGUGUCUCCUCCCUGGCUCAAGAUCUUGGGGAGUCCUAAAUAAGCUUUGCCAUUGACCUUUUAUCUGCUCAGGUCAGAGAUGCAUCUGGUUGGGCUUUCUUUACUACAAUGGUUAACGGACCCGUCUCUAUGGUGGUCCUGAGUCAUUGGAGUGGUGCCAGCACCAUAUUUGUCUCAACCAAAUUAAGGUUUCUAAUGGCUUGAGGCAAAACCUUUGUCUAACUAUGAAAGAUAUUGGAUUUUGAGAGUGCUCAAAACUGUGCCUUCAAAAUACCACUUUUCCUUUCAAUCAACCCUGUUGCUUGGGGGAGUAUACAGUAAGUGAAAUAUCCAAUCUAUGUCCUUUUCAUACAUCCAGUCUUGGACACCAUGUCUGGUGAAAUGCAUGCCUCGGUUGCUAUCAAUGUGUGGAGAGUAUCCAUACAUGACACUGAGUUGCUCCAAGCCCCUGAUGGUGGCUGUUUGGUUUGCUCUUACAAGGGAAGGCUUGCAACAAUCCCAUGGCAAUGUAUACACAUGUUAGUGCAUACUUUUGUCUCAAGAUUACUGGCAGGGGUCUGAUGUAGUCUAUCUGCUAGUCUGUCACAGGGGCAGCUGUCUUAUGUAUAUAUCCAGGUGUAUGUGGGAUGUGGCAGAGGUACAGACGGGAACAAAUUAAGCAGUUUGCUACCAGCACCACUAAAUCUGCAUAGCAGGCAGCCAAUCCUGCUCCCUUUGCUAUUUGGCAGCCCAUUCAUGCACUGAAAUCCCCACUGUGAUAUGUGCCUAAUCAACUAGCUCAGUAUUCUAUUUUUUGCUAGGAUGUCUGCCUCCAUGUUUCUGGGAGGUGAAUCUGACCAGUGUGCUGAAGCAAUUAGGUCCACAGUGGGUUCCUGUAGACUUUUCCAAAUGUCUUUCCACAUACCAGCUCCCCAUAAGGAUUUUUAAAUUAUAAAACAAAUCAUCUUGGGCCCUUUGGGCAAGCCAAAUUGUAAGACCCUUAAGUACUGCCAGACUGUCUGUACAGAGAACUAUAGGCGGUGGCUCAUGGGUACAAACCAACCAUGCAGCUUGGAGUUCUGUCCAUUGACUGCUCUGUUGCAUUCCCAUCUCAAACCAGAUACUGUCUGUCUGUGGUUGUGCAGCUACUACUGUCCAUACACAGGGUUACCUUGGCUCGAUGCAUCUAAGUACCAAGCAUUAUCGGGAAUGAGGGCCAUGCCUUCAUGUACCAUUGGAGACAUCUCCUGUGGGGGCUCCACAAUAGGGGCAGCACUGGACUCAUAAUGUACUGGCCCUAAGAUAGCAUGCAGUUCAUCUCUUAAGAGACACAUGGAAAAGUCACUAUGUUGUUGCCUGUAUGCAUGGCACUUUUGUAAAGUGGAGACUUGGGCAAUAGCUGAUACAGGCCUGGCAAACACUCCUACCCAGUCCUUGAUAGGAGACCUGUUCUCCCUGGUACCAGGAAAGCAGCAGUUAUGGAUUCAACUUGUGGCAAGACCUUCCAUAUCCCCAGGACCUGUUGUUCAAUUGGGAAAUAACAGGUUUCAGUACCCUUCCAUAAUUGUGACUAAAAUCCUAAAGGAACUGCUUCCCUAUGCUGGACUUCAUAUUUUCAUCAUCCAAAAUUAUAGUUUAGUUUUACCUUUAAAAAUAUGUUUUUUGUUCUCAUUUGUUCCAUAGGUUUCUCCCUGAAAUUUAUAUUGUAUGGUAAGGUUUCCUAUUGUUUGCAUUUUGUGGAUUGCACGCCAAGGUGUGGUUUAAUGUAUUUCUAUUACCUGUAUUUUCUAUAAAUUGGUAGUUUGGUAUAGAGUUUUGUGUAUAUUCAGGUUUUUUUUUUUUUCUGUAAGUAUUGAUGGUUCUGUAAAAGGAAAAUAAAAUCUUGGGGCCCCAAAAUUACUAAGCUAAAGGGAAAAGUCAAGCUGGGAACUGCUUAGGGCAAACCUGCCUCCCAUCUAUUCAAAGUCACCCCUCUGCUCACUGAGAUAAACGCAUGUCUGAUUGCCUCAUUUGGAAAGGCUAAUCAGAAACUCAAAAGAAUGCAACCAUUUGUCUCUCAUCUACCUGUGACCUGGAAACCCGUCCUUGCUUCGAGUUGCCCCACCUUUCCAGACUGAAUCAAUGUUCAUCUUACAUAUGUUGAUCACUGUCUCAUAUCCCCUUAAAAUGUAUAAAGCCAAGUUGUGCUCUGACCGCCAAAAGUGGCUGGGAAGUGACACCAAAGAUCAUAGUGGCAUAAGAACUCCAAGGACCUCCCCUCCACAGCGGCAAUGUGCUUGUUGAAACCAGUAUUAAAAAAUCUCAAUGAGAGCUGUGAUUGGAUUUAGCGUUGACAUAUCUUUUUAAAUUGUGGUAAAACAUACAUACUGUAUAAUUUGCCUUCUAAACAUUUUUCCAGUGUACAAUUUGGUGGCAUUAAGCAUAUUUACAGUGUUGUGUAACCACCACCAAUAUCCAUUUCCAGAACAUUUUUAUCAUCCCAAACAUAAACCAUAAAACCAUAAAAACAUAAAACAUAAACCCAUUAAACCAUAACUGCCCAUUCUCCCUACCCCCAGCCCCUGGUAACCUCUAUUCUACUUUCUGUUUCUAUGAAUUAGCUUAUCUAGCUACCUCAUAUAAGUAAAAUGUUAUAUUUGUUUUUUAUUUCUGGCUUAUUUCACUUAAAGAGUUUUCAAGCUUAUCCAAUCAGAAUUUUAUUCAUUUUUAAGGCUGAAUAAUAUUCCAUGCGUAUGUGCACCGUGGGUUGUUUAUCCAAUCAUCUGCUGAUGGACACUCAGUUGCUUCCACCUUUUGGGUAUUGGGAACAGUGCUGCUAUGGGCCUGAGUGUACAAAUAUCUGUGUGAGUUCCUGCUUUCAAUUCUUUUGGGUGUGCCCAAAAGUGGAAUUGUUGGCUCAUAUAGUAAUUCUAUUUUUACUUUCUUGAUGAACCACUAUACUGUUUUCUAUGGUGGCUGCACUACUGUACACUCUCACCAGCAGUGCACAAGUGUUCCAAUUUCUCCAUAUCUUCACCAACACUUGGCCUAGUGAAGUUUACCAUAGUUUUAUAUCCUUAUUGGCGUUCCUUUUUUUUUUUUGAGACGGAGUCUUGCUCUGUUGCCAGGCUGGAGUGCAGUGGCACAAUCUCGGCUUGCUGCAACCUCCGCCUCCCAGGUUCAAGUGAUUCUCCUACCUCAGCCUCCCAAGUAGCUGGGACUACAGGUGCAUGCCACCAUGCCCAACUAAUAUUUGUAUUUUUUUAGUAGAGAUGGGGUUUCACCAUGUUGGCCAGGAUAGUCUUGAUCUCUUGACCUUGUGAUCCACCCGCCUCGGCCUCCCAAAGUACUGGGAUUACAGGCAUGAGCCACCAUGCCUGACCAGCAUUCCUUAUUUUUAUGUCCUUAUUGUAUAUCUUCUUUGGAGAAUUGUCUAUUCAUGUCUUUUACCCAUUUUUGAAUGAGAUUGUUUUGCUAUUGUUAAAUUGUAGUUCUUUACAUACUCUGGAUAUUAAUUCUUUAUCAGAUAUGUGAUUGGCAAAUAUUUCCUACUAGUCUGUGCAUUUUCUUUUAACUCUCUUAAUAGUGUCCUUUGAUGCAAAAAAGUUUUUAAAUUUUGAUGCAGUCUUAUUUGUCAUUUUUCUUAUAUUACUUGUACUAUUGGUCACCAGCCAAGAAACCACUACCAAUUCUAAUGUCCAUAAGAUUUUCCUCAGUAUUUUCUUGAGGGUUUUACAGGUUCAAUUCUUAAGGUUAGUUAUUUGAGUCAUUCUGACUUAAUUUUUGAAAAGGGUGUAAUGGAAGGGCAUGAAUUUUGUCCAGCGUCAUUCUUUUGCAUGUGGAUAUCCAGGUUUCCAGCACCAUUUGUUGAUGCGCCAUGUGUUGCAGUGGGGCUGACACAUUUGUAAGAUGCAGUGAGCACUAAUACAUGGGAACACCAUGCAUUUAUUUACCUGUCUUUCCUCCACAGUUGUUUUGAGAAGGCUUUCACUGACAAACUCAACAGAAAUGAAUAUAUAUGACUUCUUAUAAAAUCAUAUUCAAGUAAAAUUAUAAAUUUUAAAAUGUUAAGACUAGAGCAAGACUGGAACAUCACUAGACAAGGUGAAACAUAGGCUGAAAUGAAUGAUUUAUGUUUACCUUGCUACAAAUUUUGUUGGCCCACAAUCUCUUAUGCUUAUUGCUUAAGAGAGCUACAGAGUGGGGUGAUAGCUCACAUAACCAGUCCCUGGUUUUCUGCUUCAGAAAGAAGUUUAAAUUUUCUGCUUAGAGUAAGGAAAUUAACUGAAAGAUGUCUAAUGUGAAGUUGGCAUCUACAAAGUGAAGGAGUGAGUAGUAAAUGUAAACAUCAGGAAUCCAAGGAGAUUCUAUCUUUUUACACAGAAAUGGCCUCACUGUGCACUGCUGAAGGGAGAAGGUCCCUUCAGGGGACCUUCAUGAUGAAGAAGAACACAAUAUGAUGUAGGGGUUUUCUGCUGCAGCCCUAAAUUAAAUUGUCCUUCUCUCUAACUACAGGUCUCACAAAGUUUUAUAGCUUCAAUGAUUUCACCUGGGCCAAGAUUUUGGUUUUUUUUUUGAUGUUGUUUGUUUGAACUGCUGCCUGGGGCUUAGAAAAGUGACUUGGAUAUUUUGUCAAAAUGGUAUUUCUUUGAUGGAAUGUGAAAUCCGCAAACACUCUGCUUUCCUCCUGUAUCCCCAGAGCGGGUUGAGUACCUUGCACUUCUUCUCAGCACUUCACUAGAAGUGGUAGAAGAUUUGGAGUUAGGGCCUCCCUCAAUCUGUACCCUUUCUUUAAUUCAGAGGAUCACAAGCUGUUGGGGGAAAAGUGGUAUCUUGGGCCUCCAGUUGAUCUGAUGAAUAUUAAUAUCCAAUGUCCUGUAAUGAAGUCAUGUGUGCAUGUAACAUCACUUCUGCAUGCAGUGUCAUAGGAAAGUGGGUUCGCGGAUCCCAGGUUAAGAGCCUAAACACUAAAGGCACAGAGCUAGAGCUCUAGGAGGGGAGGGAUGGCUGGGGUGGAAUGUCAUCUUGUCCUUUAGUCCUGGGGCCUUUUCAUUCCUCACAUGGUGGGUGCUGGGCAUCUGGCAGGUACUGAUGUUGAUGGAGUUGAGGGAGGGAACUGGCCGGAACUGGGAAAAACAGGGUUGGAGAGAUAAUUAAGGUGGACAUUAUUUUUUCUGAGCGUAAAUCAUGGCUGGAAAUCUGGAGAGCCUGAAGGAGAUCCCGCUACCCAAACCUGUUUUUUGCUUUUCCCUCAAGCCUCAUUUGGCCACAGGCCCAGCGUCAACACCAGGGGGCGCCCACAGACCAUGAAGGCGCCGCGCAGCUGGGAUUGUUUGUGGUGGACUCCUGGGUCCCUGACUUAACCAGGGGAGCCAAGACCCUGCAGCCAAGUGGUCUGGAUUCAACCUGCAGCUCAGGUCCUACUGACACUUCUCCCCCUGGUGCCUCAGUUUCUUAAUCUGUGGAAUGGUGAGGACAUUACAGCAUUUACCUCUGGGAUGGGUUUCUCAACAGCAGCACUAUUAACAAUUUGGGACAGAGAAUCCCUUGUGGAGUGGUCUGUCCUGUGCAUUGUGGGAGGUUUGCCAGCAGCACCCCACUCACCCCCUCCCACCAAUCCCCAUGUGACAACCGAAAAUGUCCCAGGAUUUUUAGGUCUCCCUUGGGUCUGGAAGCUGCACUUAGGCAUUUUCCCACCUGACACUUGAGCUCAUCUCUGCUUUGGUCCACUUAAGGCCACUUCAAAAAAAUGUUGUUUCUUUAAAGAUUCUAUCCAUCUUUUAAACAAAUCCAUUUUCUUCCUCUAUUUCUGCAUUCAGUUAAUCCUUCCAAACCCUUUGUUUAGUAUGUCUUGAAAUGUAUCAAUUCCAGUUCUAGUAAUUAGUGUGUCUAACUUGCAUGAUAUCUGCUAUGACUCCUAGUAGAGCUCUGAUUCCUUUAGCACAGGGAAUGUGUUCUCGAUUCUGCUCUGGAUGAUGUAAAUCAAUUUAUUUUACUUUACUUGUCUGGGAUGUUGCUCCUCAUCUGUAAGAUGUAAAUGUGGACAUGGCUUGGAUUACUAGGUGGUUUUAUUUCUUCAUUCACCUGACGUUUGUUGUGUACCUGAUGCAAGUCAAAUACAUGGCAUGGUAUUGUUUCCUUGAUCACACCACAGCAAGUGAGAAAAUGAGACAUUAUAGCCAGGUGUGGCGGCACAGGCUUGUUGUCCUAGCUACUCGGAAGGCUGAGGCAGGAGAAUUGCUUCAGCCCAGGAGUUUGAGGUUACAGUAAGGUAUGAUAUCACCAUUGCAUUUCAGCCUGGACAACAGACCCUGUCUCUGAAAAAAGGGGAAAAGACAUUGGGAGCUGUCUACAUGUACUCUAUGUCUCAGGAGACUCAUGUCCUGUAAUUUUUCUAAAUGGCAUCUCCAUGUGGUUUUUCAUGAAUGUUUGUCUGGUAUUUCUUCUCUAUCCUUUUACUUUCAACUUUUCUGUACAUUCUACUGAAAUUAUGGCUUUUAUAAACAGCCUAUGAUUAUUUAUUUACUUAUUUAUUUUUACCCCCCUGCACUAUUUGUCUUGUAAUUAGAGUGUCUGAGUCCAUUAUGUUUAAUGUAAUUAUUGACCUCAUUGGGUUUAAGUCUGUACAUUGUCAUUUUCUGCCUUCUAAUAUUAUCUCUUUCUUGCUCAACUAUUUUUCUUAUGUUACCUUCUUUAUAUGAAUAAAAAACUUUGCAUUGUUG
rnacentral:sRNA from 1 species